rnacentral:pre_miRNA from 8 species
AACUUCGAUGAAUAAAACUGCACUUGCUUUACGUUGAGCCACACGCACAAUACAUGUGGAUUCAGUUUUGUUCGUUCGGCUCGCGUUAAGCAAGUGCAGAACUUCUUCAGUGCAGUUU